AGCGAACGCUGGCGGCAGGCCUAACACAUGCAAGUCGAACGAACUCUUCGGAGUUAGUGGCGGACGGGUGAGUAACACGUGGGAACGUGCCUUUAGGUUCGGAAUAACUCAGGGAAACUUGUGCUAAUACCGAAUGUGCCCUUCGGGGGAAAGAUUUAUCGCCUUUAGAGCGGCCCGCGUCUGAUUAGCUAGUUGGUGAGGUAAAGGCUCACCAAGGCGACGAUCAGUAGCUGGUCUGAGAGGAUGAUCAGCCACAUUGGGACUGAGACACGGCCCAAACCCCUACGGGAGGCAGCAGGGGGGAAUUUUGGGCAAGGGGCGAAAGCCUGAAGCAGCCAUGCCGGGUGAAUGAUGAAGGUCUUAGGAUUGUAAAAUUCUUUCCCCGGGGACGAUAAUGACGGUACCCGGAGAAGAAGCCCCGGCUAACUUCGU
rnacentral:rRNA from 1 species